CGUUGCUAGGGCGGCGGGCUGACCGCCGUGCCCCGCCUCAACGCCCGAGGGAGCGCGGCCGUGCGAGGGGGAGGGGCCCUUCAGGGCUGGGGGCGGGGCGUGCCUGCGUCUUCCGCGCGCUCGGCCGCCUCACCUGGGCAGGCCGCGCGGCGCCCGGCGCUGCCGCUGAGGAGCGGGGGCGUGCGGGCUGCUAACGGCACGGAGCUCUCUGCUACAUCCGCCGUAGCGUGUACGCUCAAACGGGGGCACAGCACAAACCUGCAUCUCAGCUAGGUCUGCUUCCUGACGGAAACCAAGGUUUAUCCUGGAAACUUUUCAAAUAGCCUGGAAAUAAAUAGAAAAAGGUGCCUUUUUUCGGAAAUUAGUAGACUAUACCAGGUAUUCCAUCACAAAGUUUCUCUUCAGUGAACAGAAAUUCAAACUAUUCAGCACCCCUUCCUUUACAUGACCUACUUUCAAUCUGACACAAUGCAACGUGCUCAGAGAGGACAAUGUUAUCCUUGGCUCUAACGUGUCAAAACAUGAGUCUUGAGAACUUGUGUCUAAAGAGGUGGUGUCACUUUCUUGACAACAGAGCAGAGAUCAAACAUCCUGUGGCAAGUGUCCUGUCCGAGAGGGGAACCCUCUGCUGUGCCCUUCUCCAAGAUCUCCCGGUCCUACAAGGCUUCAGAGAGGCUCAUUAGAGCUCCCGAGAUGCCAACUGUGCCCCCAGAAAGAACAGCCUUAUUCUGCACAGAGCUUGAGAAGGUCUGCUCUGUACCUCCCCGGGGGUGCUGCUGCAGUUCAUCUAAUGCGCAGCAGGCAGUAUGAAUUCUGCUGCAGUCAGGUAAGGAAGACUCGUCAGGCCCGUCACAACUGCUUUUUUAUGAUCACGCUCUUCCUGGGCACAAUGAUGAGUGGGCAUAACUGCAAGUCAACGUCAGUUAAUUUUAUCACGUGAGCAAUAACACUGCAUUAUUUUACCAAAAAUGUGGCAGAGAUAAGGAGAUAAUUCAGCAAAUAAAGGCAAAUCUCGUGGUGCCUUCAGCUGCAUCUCAGAAGAUCCUGGCUCCCAUUCCUCUCUCCCAUUUAUUUACUUCAUUCCAGUUCUUCAUUUUGUGCAGCUUUACGUUCAGGCACAGAAUGAAAAAAGCGGAGAGAUGGUGACGGUUGCAUUUGUUUAUGAACAGCAUAAGCAAUGUAGCAUGCCCCGUGGCUGCCCAGGGAAGGACACCAAGGGCAGGACACAAGCGUUGUGAGGACGCUGUGAGGACGGCUGCGCACACACCUGGCAGGGUAACUGCGCUUCCGCAGUGUCUGUUAGCAGUGCUAUUUUGACAUGACGCCAUUUGAGUUGGUGUGAUUUGAAGCAUAAUCUGGUAGGGACAACGUUUCCUAAGGGAACACUGAGGCACGCUGGCAGAGGAAACGCUGCUCCUUAGUGAGGGUGCUCGUGCUGGUGAGCUGAUAAGAUAAUACCCCCCGGAAGGAGCAGCCGCUGUGCUGCGGGAGCUGCCCUUCAGCCGGCGCCGUGCAAGAACGUGCCCCAGUGGCCUGCAGCCCUGGGCCUGCUGGGCUCCCAGAGAGGGCGAGAGGCAGCGGCAGGUCCUGGUGAGCUCUGGACCUAGUGGGGAGCUGCGGUCUGCCAAGGCCUGCUGCUCCUCACAAGGACAAAGAUGGAGGAAUCUCUGGGCCCCAAACAAAACAGCUCUUCUUGCUGAAAGCUUCAGUUCUUGGUGAUGUCAAAUGCAGUAAAAGCUUUCCCUGAGCAGAGGUGUGAUUUUGUUCCUUUGACAAAGAGCUGCUCCCGCUCCCUAUGGCUGUUCCUGCUGACCUUGGGCCAGGACCACUUCCUCCCUCAGCGUUAAGCCAAAUGGCAUUGGGAGCACAAUGCUCAAACUGGAAAAAACUCUCAGAAACUAAACAAAUCAGAAUUGAUAUCAGCAAAUGUAUAUUUAUAUUCCAUGCUGGGUUCAAACCCUAUUUAGCUUUUAACAACAUUCAUUAUGAGAGCGCUUGUAGUCAAGAUCAGCCUUAAAAACACAACAGGAAUCUGAUUUCUGUGUAAAUUUGUGCUGAAGAAGCUAGUUUUGAUUGUGUUGCUUUCAAAGUAAUUAAUUUUUAACCUUAGUCUUUAAGCGGUGCAGAAGACGGUUUAUUUUUCAGAUGUUUAUAUUAUCUUUUGAAGAAAUUGAACAUGUGGCAAACUCUACGCGUGAUGUUAAGGCGGGCAACACCCAGGCACUUCUCAGGCUGUGGUACAUGGAACGAAGCAGGCUGAGCUGCAGGGCUCUCACCUUCAUCUCACCAGCAGCAUAAUAAAGAACCCAGACAGCAGCCACAGACAGCAGCGUUUCAUCUCUGGAGCGUGGUGGAACCGACCACUUCAGCUGCGUGGCCAGAGGAAGAACAACAAUUCCUUCUCUUCCCAGGGAAGGAGAGGAUAGUGGGGAAAAAAAACCACAAAUCUUCUUCCAGUGGAAGGGCUGGAAGGAACUACAAAUAAUCCAUUUUUUAAGAAGCAGUGACGGCCUGGGAGGAAUAACCCCCUCCUGCGACCCCUUUCUGAUGAGGCUUCAGCAUGAUACGGUUCAUCAGUUCAGAAGAUGUUUUUUGCUUGAAACCAAGUAAGACAGAUUCAGCUUGUUCAUCACCCUCCUCUCCAGUGCGUUCAACAGACAGCGCACGCACUUGGCCUCUCCCAUAUCAACCCGAGGCAGCCAGUAACAGGCCUCUCACCAGCUCACAGCAAACACACACACUUACUCAACACUGGUGGGGGAAAGACUUCAGUUCUCUUGCUCUAAGUUCUCUGAAAUGAGGAAGGCCGAACAACAUUUACUGUCCCCCCGCAUACACUUACCUGCUUGUUAUCAGCAGUAGCAAACUUAGCACAACUGUUAGGAAAUAAUAGCUCUAUGAAAGAGCAAACUCAUUUUUAUUAGGACGUGUAAGACCAACCAGAAGCACGAGCUGCUCUUUGUCCAACCUUCCACCUUUCUGCGGCAGAUAGGGCAGGCAUACACCGAUGUAACACCUCCCUGUACUGCACAACUCCCAUCUCUAUUUGCCAUCCUGAACAGGCAACUUUAAACCAAAAAAAAAAAAAGAACCAAUAACUGCCUUCCCAUUUGUACAAAAGCUUUCUAGCAAUUGUGACAGCUCCUAGAAAAACAGUAAGAAAAACACCUCUUUUCCCACUGUCUUUCUUGGCAGAGUGGGUGGCAAUUGUGACAGCUGUCU